rnacentral:rRNA from 1 species
UACGUAGGGUGCAAGCGUUGUCCGGAAUUAUUGGGCGUAAAGAGCUCGUAGGCGGUUUGUCGCGUCGAAUGUGAAAACCCGGGGCUCAACCCCGGGCCUGCAUUCGAUACGGGCAGACUAGAGUGCGGUAGGGGAGAUUGGAAUUCCUGGUGUAGCGGUGGAAUGCGCAGAUAUCAGGAGGAACACCAAUGGCGAAGGCAGAUCUCUGGGCCGUAACUGACGCUGAGGAGCGAAAGCAUGGGGAGCGAACAGG